UACAGAGACUGCAAGCGUUAUUCGGAUUCACUGGGCGUAAAGGGUGCGCAGGCGGCCAAGUGUGUUAGGCGUGAAAGCCCGGGGCUUAACCUCGGAAUUACACCUAAAACUACAUGGCUAGAGCAUUGGAGAGGGUAGCGGAAUUCACGGUGUAGCAGUGAAAUGCGUAGAUAUCGUGAGGAACACCAGAGGCGAAGGCGGCUACCUGGACAAUUGCUGACGCUCAGGCACGAAAGCGUGGGGAGCAAAAGGG
rnacentral:rRNA from 1 species